rnacentral:rRNA from 1 species
UGCCAGCAGCCGCGGUAAUACGGAGGGGGGUUAGCGUUGUUCGGAAUUACUGGGCGUAAAGCGCACGUAGGCGGAUCGUUAAGUGAGGAGUGAAAUCCCAGGGCUCAACCCUGGAAGUGCAUUGGAAACUGGCGAACUUGAGUACGGGAGAGGAAAGUGGAAUUCCGAGUGUAGGGGUGAAAUCCGUAGAUAUUCGGAGGAACACCAGUGGCGAAGGCGGCUUUCUGGACCGAUACUGACGCUGAGACGCGAAAGCGUGGGGAGCAAACAGGAUUAGAUA